rnacentral:lncRNA from 1 species
CUAACACAAAAAUAUGUCUCCCUCUUUUUCUUUAAUAAUAUCCGUGCACUUUUAAAGGGAAAUGGGCAAUUUUUCUCCUUCGACGGGUAGAAAAAAAGAGAAGUUCUUCCAUCAACGUGCCAAGCUAAAAGGCGGAUCUAAUAUAAUAGAAGCAAUUCCCCAUCUUAGCUCAGAACAACAGAACACUCUAAGAAAGGGAAGGCGUACAAACCCUUAAAAAAGGGAAAAAUGAAAUUUCCAAGCCCGGUAGUACUUACUC